GGGAGAGGUAUAUGUUCAGGCUUCUUCUUUGGAAUUCAACAGGACUUCUCUUUUUGUUCAUUUUGCCAGCACCAUUUGAGGCUGUAAAUGUGAUAUAUUGGAGUUGAUCUGGAAUACAAUAUACAAUCUAUUCAGAAGUGUGUUUAUCCAGUCCAGAGUGGUGAAGUUGAGAGAGUGAUGGGACAUGGGUGACAACUGGAUUAGAACAAGUACGUCAGGAAUUGUGUCCAAGACUAUUCCUAGCAGCUGCCCCUCUCUGAUCACCAACCAUGAAGAUCCAAUCUGAUUUUUAAAGAAAUAUGUAGACCAUUCUCAAGUAUGCACUGGAUGAAGAUAAGAGCCUGUCUUAUAAGCAUGAGCACAACAAUGUCAAAAGAUGUUUCAGAUCAAGCAGAGUGAUUUCCUAUGUGUAUUAGACAACUGAAGGAAUAUAUUAGUCACCCCACCCUCUUUUUACUCCUGGAAUGAAUUCCUGUUGUUCACAUUGCUAAGGUGUUAAGUUUGCUUGUGGAUUAUAGCUGUGUAGGAACUGAUUUUGAAAACAAAAACUGAAUCCUAUUUAUUCAUUGCCAUGUUUUGACUUUACAUACCUCAUCUCCAUCCUUCUGUCCACCUUAUUACCUUUCUUUGAACUGCCCCAGCUCAGACAUCUGGAAAAGCUUUCCCUGAGUAAAGUAGUGACUUAAUGUCAUGGCUUCCACAGGCCUGUAUUUCCAAAAA
ensembl:lncRNA